ACCUAUGAUAUGAUUAAAUAUGAGAUUAAGAUUUAAAAAUUAAAAAUCUGCAUCGAUCAUAUUGAUGCUCUAGAUUAGAUCUAACCCUUAGAUCUAUUCAAAUCUGAUCUAACGAGUUCAAAACUCAUUAUCAAAGUGCAGAUUGCUGAUCUCCAUAAUUGUAUCAUGUGGAUAGGAGCUCCUUUAGGUUGCUCGCAGCUGCACAAAGAUGUUGGGUCUUUAUAGAUAGUCGACACGA
rnacentral:lncRNA from 1 species